GGAAGUCCUAUCAAGGUGGAGGAGGUCAUAUCAAGGUGAAGGAGGUCCUAUCAAGGUGGCUAGCAAGGUGGAGGAAGUCCUAUCAAGGUGGAGGAGGUCAUAUCAAGGUGAAGGAGGUCCUAUCAAGGUGGCCAGCAAGGUGGAGGAAGUCCUAUCAAGGUUGAGGAGGCCCUAUCAAGGAGGUCCUAUCAAGGUGGAGGAGGUCCUAUCAAGGUGGAGGAGGUCCUAUCAAGGUAGAGGAGGUGCUAUCAAGGUGAAGGAGAUCCUAUCGAGGUGAAGGAGGUCAUAUCAAUGUGGCUAGCAAGGUGGAGGAGGUCCUAUCAAGGUGGAGGAGGUCCUAUCAAGGUGGUUAGCAAGGUGGAGGAGGUCCUAUCAAGGUGGAGGUCAUGUCAAGGUGGUUAGCAAGGUGGAGGAGGUCCUAUCAAGGUGGAGGAGGUCCUAUCAAGGUGA